rnacentral:lncRNA from 1 species
GGGGAAGAAAGUCCACUAGGCACCCCUACCCCCUUUUCCCAGGGCAGGCUACUGAAUGAAUCCUAAUUCUCUGCAGUUUGGAGGAAGACAGCCAUUCCUAAAUCUAAGAGCCAGGAAGCAAGGAAGACUGACCUGGAACACAGCACACCCCUACUUCCUGCGGGAGUGCCCCAGAACCCACAGACACCUGGGUACCUUGCCGGGACUCUGGCUGGCUGUGUUACCUGGGCCAUCGACUCGACCCCUCUGAGUCUCAGGACCCUCAUCUGUGAAGGCAGCCUCCAGCCCAGGCUGGCAGAUGAUACUGGAGGUCCUAGGUGCUGCCCAAGGCUCGUUCUAGCUGGAAAGCAGGGGCUGGGACCGUAGAGGUCCGGGGCUGGGUUCCUCCUGCUCCUCUAGCCCUUGCUGUGUGUGUUAUUUAAGGCCACGCUGGAUUAAAUAACAGCCCCUAAAUGUUCCUGCCAACCCGUACCCUGUAAA